GAUGAACGCUGGCGGCGUGCCUAAUACAUGCAAGUCGAGCGAACAGAUGAGGAGCUUGCUCCUCUGACGUUAGCGGCGGACGGGUGAGUAACACGUGGAUAACCUACCUAUAAGACUGGGAUAACUUCGGGAAACCGGAGCUAAUACCGGAUAAUAUAUUGAACCGCAUGGUUCAAUAGUGAAAGACGGUUUUGCUGUCACUUAUAGAUGGAUCCGCGCCGCAUUAGCUAGUUGGUAAGGUAACGGCUUACCAAGGCAACGAUGCGUAGCCGACCUGAGAGGGUGAUCGGCCACACUGGAACUGAGACACGGUCCAGACUCCUACGGGAGGCAGCAGUAGGGAAUCUUCCGCAAUGGGCGAAAGCCUGACGGAGCAACGCCGCGUGAGUGAUGAAGGUCUUCGGAUCGUAAAACUCUGUUAUUAGGGAAGAACAAAUGUGUAAGUAACUAUGCACGUUUUGACGGUACCUAAUCAGAAAGCCACGGCUAACUACGUG
rnacentral:rRNA from 1 species